AAGUCGAGCGGAGAGAGGUAGCUUGCUACUGAUCUUAGCGGCGGACGGGUGAGUAAUGCUUAGGAAUCUGCCUAUUAGUGGGGGACAACAUUUCGAAAGGAAUGCUAAUACCGCAUACGUCCUACGGGAGAAAGCAGGGGAUCUUCGGACCUUGCGCUAAUAGAUGAGCCUAAGUCGGAUUAGCUAGUUGGUGGGGUAAAGGCCUACCAAGGCGACGAUCUGUAGCGGGUCUGAGAGGAUGAUCCGCCACACUGGGACUGAGACACGGCCCAGACUCCUACGGGAGGCAGCAGUGGGGAAUAUUGGACAAUGGGCGCAAGCCUGAUCCAGCCAUGCCGCGUGUGUGAAGAAGGCCUUAUGGUUGUAAAGCACUUUAAGCGAGGAGGAGGCUACUUUAGUUAAUACCUAGAGAUAGUGGACGUUACUCGCAGAAUAAGCACCGGCUAACUCUGUGCCAGCAGCCGCGGUAAUACAGAGGGUGCAAGCGUUAAUCGGAUUUACUGGGCGUAAAGCGCGCGUAGGCGGCUAAUUAAGUCAAAUGUGAAAUCCCCGAGCUUAACUUGGGAAUUGCAUUCGAUACUGGUUAGCUAGAGUGUGGGAGAGGAUGGUAGAAUUCCAGGUGUAGCGGUGAAAUGCGUAGAGAUCUGGAGGAAUACCGAUGGCGAAGGCAGCCAUCUGGGCUAGCACUGACGCUGAGGUGCGAAAGCAUGCGGAGCAAACACGAUUAGAUACCCUGGUAGUCCAUGCCGUAAACGAUGUCUACUAGACGUUGGGGCCUCUGAGGCUUUAUUGGCGCAUC
rnacentral:rRNA from 1 species